GUGCCAGCAGCCGCGGUAAGACGGAGGAUGCAAGUGUUAUCCGGAAUCACUGGGCGUAAAGCGUCUGUAGGUGGUUUAAUAAGUCAACUGUUAAAUCUUGAGGCUCAACCUCAAAAUCGCAGUCGAAACUAUUAGGCUAGAGUAUAGUAGGGGUAAAGGGAAUUUCCAGUGGAGCGGUGAAAUGCGUAGAGAUUGGAAAGAACACCGAUGGCGAAGGCACUUUACUGGGCUAUUACUAACACUCAGAGACGAAAGCUAGGGUAGCAAAUGGGAUUAGAAACCCUCGUAGUCC
rnacentral:rRNA from 1 species